CUUGGGUUGCCAUAACCCUUCAGACAUAGAAGCCGAAUUUAAGCUGUACUUCUACCUGAGCAUUCUCCACUCUCAGUGCUGCUACGCUGAAUGUGACUCUCAUCAUGUACGUGAUGGAAGACAUCAGCCUGCUGCUGCUCAGCAUCAGUCUAGUUCAUAGUCUUUCUAUAAAGAUAACAGCAUUGACCAUGAUUAUUUCUCUGUAUCUGCCAUAAUUGAAAGAGCCAACAAGAAUGCUGGACAAGAACACAAUUUUGAUAAAGUUGACACCAAGAGUUUGAACACUCUAUAUGACUACAAUUCUGUCAUGCACUAUUCGUGGUUUGCUUUCAGAACAGGGAGCCGACCAUCCUCCCCAUACCAGACAAUAAUGUACCCAUUGGACGUGCCACUGAGAUGAGCCCCAAUGACAUUCUACGUGUCAACAGGCUGUACUGCAGUUAAAUGAGUCACUCUCAACAUCACCAGUGUAUUUCAAAUGCUUUUACAAACUGCUUGCAAAAAAUGUUCAGAUUUGAAAGACUUUGCUCUUUAUGUAUUCUGAUGUUUUUUUUUUUGUUGUUUUUUUUUUUCAAAUUUAAAAAAGUAGAAAGAGUGUUACACGAGCAGUCAUCUGGGCACAUUUUUCUUUGCUUUGUUUCUACUUACUUUUUGAUGAUUUAUCAGUUCUGCUUUUUUGGAGUUUGUUUUCAUUUUUCACCUGCAGUUUUACAGUCAAUUAAAAGUAAUUCAUACUAAA